CAGAGGGCAGGGCACAGGGCAGGGCACAGGGCAGGCGUUGGAGGGUUUUGAUGUAUGAAUGAAUGAGUGUUGACGUGCUCCUGGGUUCAUGUGAAAGCCACUAAUUGGUCUGGGGAGCAAAGGAACGGAGGCUGCACAAUAGAGCUUUUCUGUAAGCCUCACAGCACCUUACACAGUAGGUACCCCAUUUCACUGAUGAGGACACCCAAGCCCAAACAGGCCAAGCGAUGUUCCCAAGACCAUACCUGGCAUUCUAUUCACUCAUCACUAUCACUUACUAGGGCAGAGCUGUGUGGCUUUGACUGGGUUACUUGACCUUUCUGAUCCUCUAAUUCCCCAUCUGUAAAAGAGAUACAAAGAUGUGCUGCUACUUGGUAUGGACUGGGCUGGCACCAGACUUCACACGAUGGACAGAAGGGUGUUCCUAGCAGAAGAGACUGCAUAUGCAAAGGCAUGGAGUCUGAAAGAAGACCUCUGGGGACCCCUGGCCUAUCCUGGAGGAUUAGGAGAGCGUGGAAUCCUCUGCCAGCCUUGGAAUUUCCUCCAUCUUCCAAGGACCCUCUGAGAAGCCUGCCUGACUCCCCUAGUGGGAAGCACAGCAUCGUCCACGGAAGCAGGUGACGCCAGGUACUGGGGCAAGAAGUGCAUCCGAACCCUGACUGGCCUUAAAGGAUGGUGGGACUAGGCCUUGCCACGGGUCAGUGGGAAUAGCAGUGAUCAUUAAGACUUUACCAGCACCUCCGGAUGCUCACAAGAGGGCAGAUCUUGGCUCCACCAUUGUCAGUCGCAUUACUCACUGGCCCAUGAACUCCACGUUGGAUUUCUUCUGUGUCUUCAGCAGCACACUGGGCGGGUCACACCCAAGAAGUGCCUGAAAGCUUUAAAGAAAGGCAAGGGGAGUCACUUGAUUUGACUGCCUCUGCUGCCCCCUGCUGCAGAAUAAUAGUUUGAAGCGCUAACAUGGGAGCUCCCCCUCUCAAUCUUGGGGAUCUCAGGGCACUGUUUCACACCUAAAAGUUAUUGAGGACU